rnacentral:rRNA from 1 species
CAUGAUUGUCGGAUUAAAGAUGGCAGUAAUGUUUUCGCUUGGAGAUGAGCUUGCGGCCCAUUAGCUAGUUGGCGGAGUAACAGCCCACCAAGGCUAUGAUGGGUAGCCGGCCUGAGAGGGUGUACGGCCACAUUGGGACUGAGAUACGGCCCAGACUCCUUCGGGAGGCAGCAGUAGGGAAUUUUGCGCAAUGGACGAAAGUCUGACGCAGCAACGCCGCGUGAGUGAUGACGGUCUUCGGAUUGUAAAGCUCUGUUGAGUGGGAAGAAAAGUUCCGUUAAUCGCGGAGCCUGACGGUACCGCUCGAGGAAGCCCCGGCUAACUACGUGCCAGCAGCCGCGGUAAUACGUAGGGGGCGAGCGUUGUUCGGAAUCACUGGGCGUAGAGGGAGCGUAGGCGGGUCUGUAAGUUAGGAGUCUAAUUCCCGGGCUUAACCCGGGGUCGGCUUUUAAUACUGCAGGUCUUGAGUAGGGAAGAGGGAGAUGGAAUUUCAGGUGUAGCGGUGGAAUGCGUAGAUAUCUGAAAGAACACCAGUAGCGAAGGCGGUCUCCUGGAACCAUACUGACGCUGAGGCUCGAAAGUUAGGGGAGCAAACAGGAUUAGAUACCCUGGUAGUCCUAACCGUAAACUAUGGAUACUAGAUGUUGGAGGAGUCAAUCCUUCCGGCGUCGUAGCUAACGCUUUAAGUAUCCCGCCUGGGAAGUACGCCCGCAAGGGUGAAACUCAAAGGAAUUGACGGGGGCCCGCACAAGCGGUGGAGCAUGUGCUUUAAUUCGAUGCAACGCGAAGAACCUUACCUGGGUUUGACAUGGGAGUGAAAGUUCCUAGAGAUAGGAGCCUUUCCGCAAGGAACACUCUACACAGGUGCUGCAUGGUUGUCGUCAGCUCGUGUCGUGAGAUGUUUGGUUAAGUCCAGCAACGAGCGCAACCCUCGCCCUUAGUUGCCAUCAGGUAACGCUGGGAACUCUAAGGGGACCGCCUAGUUUAACUAGGAGGAAGGUGGGGAUGACGUCAAAUCAUCAUGGCCCUUACGUCCAGGGCUAGACACGUGCUACAAUGGUCGGUACAGCGGGAUGCAAGGCGGCGACGUCAAGCAAAUCCCUUAAAACCGAUCUCAGUUCGGAUUGGAGUCUGCAAUCCGACUCCAUGAAGCUGGAAUCGCUAGUAAUCGUGGAUCAGCAUGCCACGGUGAAUACGUUCCCGGGCCUUGUACACAC